CCGAGGUGCUGACAUCCACGGCGCAUCUGCUGAUGUCCCCAAACAAGGGAGAGACCAUCCUAACGCAGAUACUGUCCAGACAGUGCCUCUCAGAAAGGGAACCUAGAGACACGCUUCCAACAUAACCGGUGCCCGGUGACGGCCCCCCCCACCGUGGGUGUCCCCACAGUCUCCCUGCCGUGACCCUGCCCGCCCCUCGGAAGAACUCCUGGCGGACACCCUGAAUCCUAGAGCCUCGGGGCGAGGGCAGAAGCUGAAGAGAGAGCCUCUCCUUGUCAUGCGUUUAAAAAUCAAGCAGAUGCUCUGCUCGAAUUACAUGCAGGUCCUCCUCGUGCGCACGUGUGCUCACCCAGCACAGUCCGUAUUUUCCUACAGUCAGCGGUCGUGUCGGCAGGCGCAGGAGGAGCUCACGCAUCUGUCUUGUUCAAGACGAGUUUGAGACACUGGAAAAAAGAUCCUCGUGUGCGUGGGACACAACGAAGCUGCCAGGCACUGUCACAGAAGCUGCAAUGCUCAGAGGACUUGGGGGGACGUCAGAGCAAAGGGGGGCGAGGUUUGCAGCAUGAGUGUGACGGCCCCUCCUUGUCUCAGUGGGUAUUUAAAUAGUGAAUAAGAGAGGGAGGAUGGGUGUGCGGGUGGUGUGGAAACAGGCUCCAUGGAGGCGGGCGGUGACCGGACCCUCCCUGGCAGGGGGGCCCAUGUGCUGAGCCCCGCUCCGUUGUGCUCAGUGAACCCGGCAGAGGUCACACGUCCACAGCAAGGCUUGUGUCCUGCUUCGGAAAAGAGAGCUAGUUGAACACUAAGAAAAGCAGGCUUCUUUGUUUAUUCUCAGGACCUUUUGGUAACAGGGCUGCACUCUGCAAACUGCUCACCACGGAAGACUGCCCGUCUUAACAAAUUAUCUAGCCACUGAACCCCUGAUUGGGACCCUUGUAGUCACAGCAGGAGAAUCCCUGAGCAGAUUGGGGGCUCAGGUCACCAGGGUCUGAGUGCUCUGGGAUUCCUCGUGCUCCCCUUCCCUGCCUCCCUGUCCAUCCGUCCCAGCAAGCCUGUGGUUGGGGCGGCUUGAUAUACCUCUUCCUCAGAUGCAAGUUUUAGUGGUGGGGUUAAGGCCCGUCACAAGGGACCUUAAACCUUGCAGUGUACGCAAAGUUGUAUUCCACAGAUAUAAAUAUUUUCUUUUCCUUUUACCGUGACACUAUGUGUGAUGGUAAUAUUUCUGAAAGUUUCAGAUUUUUGCACAUAAUGAUUUUAUGCAUUAUCAAAAGUUACUGCUGCCUUGAAUGAAAAUGUUCUGUGAAAUUUUUUGCAAAAGCUUUACUAGGUUUUUUUUUAAUUGUGACAUUUUGUAAAGGCAGGAAAUGGAUUAAAAUAAGCAUGCUAAAUAUAUUUUUCAAAAAAGCAAUAAUUUUACAUGUAUAGAAAUUAUCCUAACCUUUAAUACUGGUGAGAGCGACAGUUUACUUAAUACAGUAAUGGAUUAGUGCAGUUUUUGUAGAAAAUGGGCUUCUGAUACAAAGACUUGUUUAAACACACACACACACACACACACACACACCCACCCACCCCUGAAGUGUGGUUUUCCUGUUCUAAUGAUUUGUUGAGUUUUAUUAUUAUUAUUAUUAUUGUUGUUGUUGUUGUUGUUCUUAGUUACUGUUUGGUUUCUGGAUUCUACUUGUUACUGAAUUUAAAUUACUUGACGGUUCAGGUUACCUUGCAACAUUUGCAAACAAUGCAAUGUAACUGGCUAGCUUCUAUAUAUAUAUAUUAUAUACAUGUAUACACACACACAUGUAGACACAGAGAUACGUGCGUGUGUGUGUAUAUAUAUAAUUUUUUUACUUAUUUUUUCCUGCUUCUCUUUUGCCGGAUAUGUUCCAGAACGAUCUGUCCUGUUGGUGUGUUCCGAGGGUCUGUGCAGAUGCUCCUCAGCCACUGUCCUUGACUGUUCUGUAAAGUUACUUUGAGCAAAGUUGCAGACACAUUCCCCUGCUCACCUUCGAAAUCAAAAUGCCACUCUGUUGACUUCCGUUUGAUCCUGUCUCUGGCCUCCCCACGGUGGUCAUUUCUGCAUUUUCUUGGCUGAAAGUGAAGGGUGACAGUUCAGGAGCGCACAGGGGCUAGAGCUGCGGGCUGUCUGUUUCUCUGCAUUUUAGUUAUUAAAAGGAACUCUGGACCCAAAGUGACACAGAUGAGUCAUGUACCUUCUUGCUGUUUCAGAAGCAGCCUGUGGAGUCACAGUGUCACCCCGGGGGCUCCUUUGCAGGGGCCUGGGGGAGAGAGGGGGCACAUCCCCAGGGAAAACCGUGUGCUGCCAGGAGCACAGAUGGAAGGUUUUCACUUAAUUCAGCAGGCGGGGAAGGGACCCCAGAGAACGCCACCCUCUGAGAGAAGCCCUUUGCGGGAGACUGUGGCCCCUCCCUCUUUCACUGCCCAUCAGUAUUUUAUUGGUUUGUUAAUGCAUUUAUGUCAGUUCAACCAUAGUAUUUAAUAUGAUUUGUGUUUUCUUAUUUAUUUAGCUGAUAUGUCUUGAUUCGCUUUUUUUUCGAAUGAUAAUUUCCGCAUGGUCUCUCCUGUAAGUCACCUUCUGACUGUUACAGACUUUCUACCUCUACCAAUCUGCUGUUUCCUUGUUUCUUAACAGGAUUUCACAGUGUUGGCGUCCAGUGUAACUUAGACAAUAAAGGGUUUGGUUGUCUACACUGCAGCUUCUCCUGGUUGUCUACACUGCAGCUUCUCUGUGUGGCGCCCUACCCCCACCUACGCCCUCCCUUCCCUGCUCACACCUCUUAUUCAUUGUCGCGCUCAAAUAAUACAGAUAAUGAGCUUAUAGAAAUCUUUCAGGUUAUUCACUCAUAUUCCUUAAUUUGAAGAAUGAACAUUGAAAUGCUCUAAAAAAAAAUCAGCUGUUUAGCAUCUAAACCCGGUCAUUGUCCACUGCUCUGUCACUUCUCUUACCUGGUUCCUGCAAGGGCUUAGGGUGAUCUCAGAGGCUACCUUUCACCUGGGUGAUUUACAACACAAUACUGAUUUGCAAGCCAAACCGGAUUUUUGCCUUUUUAGGAAAAGUAUUCAGUGCUUUAAGAGAUUCCCCCCUAAGAUUUCCUUAUUUAUUUUUAAACCAAGAGAGACACUAGUUUCUUGAAACCCAGGUGCUCCAGCAAAGGGCCCCGGGAAUUACACAGGCCACUUUGGUGAAGUUAGGGAGCACUGAUUUUGCCCAGUACGUCAAGAGCCAUCCUCAAAUUUGGCCAUUCUGUCCCAGGCCAUACAGUGUUGCACAAACAUGACGUAAAGGCACAUACACACGCAGGGUCCUCACUCCGCAAGUCCCUGGGACCCCGAGCUGAGGGGGUUGGAUGCAGCAGGUUGCAGGCAUUGCCUCUUGCUGCCUCCCCAGGGAGCUGGCUCAGGUAGCUGCACCAUUCCACCGGGAGUUAGCGAGUGGCUCAGGGGAUGUGUCUUCUGUUCUCAGAAAGGUCUGGGCUUGAAAGGACACUGCACCUCCUGGGGUUUCUUGUCCAGAUGCUCUGUACCAAUGUUCCAUCUUUAAAACAGACAUGGCCCCGCCCUAGAGGUUUGCACGAGGCACAAAAGAGGACUGCGUUCGCCUGCCUUGACUUUCCCACUUUCAGCAUGUCUCCGUGUCUGAAGGAGCGGCGAUUGUUUCACUGCUUGUAACUUGGCUGGGUUCUAAGAACGUUUUACAUGCUGAGCAAAAAAGAAAGAAAACGCAAGUCACAGACCAGGACAUCCAGUGACGUUCCGGUGCUCUGUAGCGUGUCUCUGUGAAGUGACCGAGGGGAAAUGUUCAUUCUUCAACUUUGCUAAUUAUGCUUUGAGGCAGUAAAAUGCAAAAGACCAUAGAAUUUGUAUUUCUUUUUAAAAAUACAAUUUAUAACAUUAUAUUUUGUACUCUUUAUAUUAGAAUUUGUAACUAGAUUGAUGUAUUUAACUCUAUUUCUGAAAAAAUAAUUCAAUGUUUCAGUUGUGUGAUAAAAAUAUUUAGAUAAAACAUAUUCAUUCUAUUGGAAUUUGAAAUCAAUAAAAACAUCUUGGAGUUCU
ensembl:lncRNA